CGGCCCGCGCUAUAUAAGGUUGGGCGGGGCAGGUGCGGCUGGUUGUGUGUGAGGGGUGAGGGUGCGGCCCCGCUGCUGCCCGGGCUGCGGAGGUGAGAGCGCCUUGUCCGCUGUCCUCGCUCGUGGUUUCUCCUGGUGCUGGUGGAGUGGAGGUGAGUUGUGCUUCCUGCUGGGAGAGAGAAGGGCCUGGGGAAGCUGCUCCAUGAACCACAGCUGUGCCGAGCCUGGGAGUCUGUCCAGCAGGAUGUUGAGUGCCACCGUGUCCCUGAGGUCACCCUUUCUGCUGUUGGGAGAGCACGAGGUGGAUGGAGAGGAUCUCCAGGCAUCUGCAGGCACAAGGGACUCGUACAACUGUGAUUUUCCUACAGCCCUCAUAAGGUGGACUUUCAGGAUACCAUGGGUAAUGUGCCAGCUCUCCUGCUGGAGUUUUUGUCUUGUGCUAUAUUUGAACAUAAAGAGUAAAACUAAAGUCAGGUCUGUUCUGGAGUAUGUUA